AUGAACGCUAGCGACAGGCUUAACACAUGCAAGUCGAGGGGCAGCAUGGUCAGUAGCAAUACCGACUGAUGGCGACCGGCGCACGGGUGAGUAACGCGUAUGCAACCUGCCCUGUACAGGGGGAUAGCCCAUGGAAACGUGGAUUAAUAUCCCAUAGUAAUCAUGAUAGGCAUCUAUUUUGAUUUAAAUCUUCGGAGGUACAGGAUGGGCAUGCGUCCUAUUAGAUAGUUGGCGGGGUAACGGCCCACCAAGUCUUUGAUAGGUAGGGGUUCUGAGAGGAAGGUCCCCCACACUGGUACUGAGACACGGACCAGACUCCUACGGGAGGCAGCAGUGAGGAAUAUUGGUCAAUGGGCGAUAGCCUGAACCAGCCAAGUCGCGUGAGGGAAGACUGCCCUAUGGGUUGUAAACCUCUUUUGUAAGUGGAGAAUAAGCGUUACGUGUAGCGCGAUGACUGUAACUUACGAAUAAGCAUCGGCUAACUCCGUGCCAGCAGCCGCGGUAAUACGGAGGAUGCGAGCGUUAUCCGGAUUUAUUGGGUUUAAAGGGUGCGUAGGCGGCACUAUAAGUUAGUGGUAAAAUUUCCGGGCUUCACCCGGAUUCGCCAUUAAUACUGUAGAGCUCGAGUACAGACGAGGUAGGCGGAAUAAGUUAAGUAGCGGUGAAAUGCAUAGAUAUAACUUAGAACUCCGAUAGCGAAGGCAGCUUACCAGACUGUAACUGACGCUGAUGCACGAGAGCGUGGGUAUCGAACAGGAUUAGAUACCCUGGUAGUCCACGCCGUAAACGAUGAUUACUAGGUGUUGGAGGAUUUACCCCUUCAGUGCCGCAGUUAACACAAUAAGUAAUCCACCUGGGGAGUACGACCGCAAGGUUGAAACUCAAAGGAAUUGACGGGGGCCCGCACAAGCGGAGGAACAUGUGGUUUAAUUCGAUGAUACGCGAGGAACCUUACCUGGGUUUAAAUGUAUUCUGCAUAAACUGGAAACAGUUUUUUCCUUCGGGACUGAUUACAAGGUGCUGCAUGGUUGUCGUCAGCUCGUGCCGUGAGGUGUCGGGUUAAGUCCCAUAACGAGCGCAACCCUUAUCACUAGUUGCCAUCAGGUAAUGCUGGGCACUCUAUUGAGACUGCCACCGUAAGGUGAGAGGAAGGGGGGGAUGACGUCAAAUCAGCACGGCCCUUACACCCAGGGCGACACACGUGUUACAAUGGCCGGUACAGAGGGUCGCUACCUGGUGACAGGAUGCUAAUCUCGAAAUCCGGUCGUAGUUCGGAUUGGAGUCUGUAACCCGACUCCAUGAAGUUGGAUUCGCUAGUAAUCGCGCAUCAGCCAUGGCGCGGUGAAUACGUUCCCGGGCCUUGUACACACCGCCCGUCAAGCCAUGGAAGCCGGGAGUACCUGAAGUCCGUAACCGCAAGGAUCGGCCUAAGGUAAUACUGGUAACUGGGGCU
rnacentral:rRNA from 1 species